UAUAAUAUAGGAAAACAGCCAAUUUUAUAUGUGUCACAUAUAUCAAAAACCUAUAUUAAACCAUAUGUUUCUUUCCAUAUUCUUUCCAUGUGGGCGUGUACCAGACCCAACACACAACUCACUUUUCUUUUCUUUUUUUCAGAAGAAGAGUCCACAGUCACAAUAACAAGAUCAUUGAGCUGUCCCCUAAUUGUGGUCAGCUACAUGUUUAGUCUCUUAUGUGCAAAACAUUAUGUAGCCUAAGGAAGCAGCCCUGACUCUGUAGUUUAUAUAAAGGUAUGUUUUUACAUUUUUAAGUUUAUUUCAUUUUUACAAGACAAGUAAGGUGAUGCAUGUUUGUUGUAUUUACAACAGGAGCAUGCUGAGUAACUAUCCAGAACGUAGGUACAAAGCAGAAAAAAGGGCACCAAGCAGAAACAUACCAUCUAAACUCCUUCGAUUCCUGUCAGACCAGAAAGACUUUCAGAAUCCUUGGAAGAUUUAAAGCCAUUGAAGUAUCAGUAUUGGAGAGGAAGAAGACCCAGUUGUAUCGUCUGUUUCCUGCCAUCUAGCAGUUAACCUGGUUUCUUAAUGUAAAGUACUUGUAAUUUGCCCACUUGUCCUCAAUUAUCUUAAAGCUAACAUUUAAAACUAAUUUGCUAUGAGAUUAUUUGCCAAGACUUCUCACUGUGCGAUUCACAUGUCAAUAUGUAUUAUUGUUUGUAUAACUAGCUAUUUGGAAUUCAAAUGAUUUGUUUUCAUUAAAAAAUCUGUUUUAAUUGCAAA